GAAUUUAUUACCUUUCAAUGCCAUUAAAUAGCUGUUUGUUACCUUUCAAUGUCAUGAAAUAACCUUCUUUAUUUUUCUUCUUUUCUUUUUCUUGUAUUAGGAAGUAGAGAAGAUUUGAGUGCAGCUUUCAAUGUAUAGGUUGUUCCCCUGAAGAAGAUACCUUUCACAGCCUAAGCUCUUCAUGGACACUUUCACAUGUUGUGGGUUCACGCCAUAGAAGAUCCAUGUCAGGAACAUUUCAAUGAAAGACAGCUCCCUCUAAAAAUCAGUUGCUAGAGCUGAGCCCAGUAAGGGAGACGCUUUACUCA
rnacentral:lncRNA from 1 species